rnacentral:rRNA from 1 species
CAAUAGCGUAUAUUAAAGCUGUUGCAGUUAAAAAGCUCGUAGUUGGAUUUCUGGUAGGAGCGACCGUGCCGAACUUGAUUGUUCGAGUAUUGUGUUGUCUUCAGCCAUCCUCGUGGAGAACUUUUCUAACAUUAACUUGUUGGGAUUGGGACCCGCGUCGUUUACUGUGAAAAAAUUAGAGUGUUUAAAGCAGGCAUUAGCUUGAAUACAUUAGCAUGGAAUAAUAAGAUAGGACUUUGGUACUAUUUUGUUGGUUUGCAUACCAAAUUAAUGAUCAACAGGAACAGUUUGAGGAUAUUCGUAUGAACAUGUCAGAGGUGAAAUUCUUGGAUUUUGAUCAGACGAACUACUGCGAAAGCAUUUAUCAAGGAUGUUUUCAUUAA